AUUGAACGCUGGCGGCAGGCCUAACACAUGCAAGUCGAACGAGUGGCGGACGGGUGCGUAAUGUCUGGGAAACUGCCUGAUGGAGGGGGAUAAAUAAUGGAAACGGUAGAUAAUACCGCAUAACAUCAGAUGUGCCCCGAUGGGAUUAGCUAGUGUGUGGGGGAACGGCUCACCAAGGCGACGAUCCCUAGCUGGUCUGAGAGGAUGACCUGCCACACUGGAACUGUGACACGGUCCAGACUCCUACGGGAGGCAGCAGUGGGGAAUAUUGCACAAUGGGCGCAAGCCUGAUGCAGCCAUGCCGCGUGUAUGAAGAAGGCCUUCGGUUUGUAAAGUACUUUCAGCGGGGAGGCGUUACCCGCAGAAGAAGCACCGGCUAACUCCGUGCCAGCAGCCGCGGUAAUUC
rnacentral:rRNA from 1 species